AUAAUUGCGAAACGAGACUGCAAUACUCCAAAAGCACGUUCGACAUCUUUGCGGUAGGAUUCUUGACAUGAAGCAAACAAUCGGGUCUUUGGAUCUUGCGGUAGGGGAAUCGAUUUUAUGAAAGUUGCCCAUUUUGGAUAGAUACCGUCAGUGAGGUAGUAUGCCAAACGGUAUUCGUUUCUAUUGAUAUAGUACUUAACUCUUGGAGCUCGACCUUGUAAAAUGUCAUCAAAAACCGGGGAGCGUUCAAGAACAUUAAGGUCGUUUAACGUACCUGGAGGUCCGAAAAUUGCGUGCCAUAUCCAUAGAUCAUGUGAUGCCACCGCCUCUAAGACGAUUGUUGGUUUUCCUGAACCACGUGUAUAUUGUCCUUUCCAAGCGGUUGGACAAUUUUUCCACUCCCAAUGCAUACAGUCGAUGCUUCCAAUCAUUCCCGGGAAUCCACGUGACUCUCCGACAUCAAGUAGGCGUAUUAGAUCAUCUCGGGUGGGUCUUCUUAGGUAUUCAUCUCCGAAACAAGAGAUAAUUCCUUCAGUGAAAUUUUCUAAACAAGAAAUAGCUGUACUCUCACCUAGCCGAAGGUACUCGUCAACCGCAUCUGCCGCAGUGCCAUACGCCAUCAUACGUAUUGCCGCUGUACAUUUCUGUAUGCAGAGAGGCUAACCCUUCCAACAGCAUCUCUCCUUUGUUGAAAAAAAGCUAGUUCCGCUGAUAGUCGAUCAACAAUACGCAGGAACAACGUCUUUCUCAUCCUAAAACGGCGGCGAAAUAGAUGAGGAGGAUAUGUUGCAUCGUCACUAAAAUAGUCGUUCCAUAACCGUUGAUGGCCUUCUUCACGUGCUCUUUCAAUAUAUGCUCUUUUUUCUUCCUUUUUGGCAUUGGAGCGGUAUGCUGAUGUAGUAAUUCGUUGAAUGCAUCUUCAAAUUUUUCUUCCAAGAUAUUAUCAAAAGUUUCAUCAAAGUAGUCAUCAAUAUCGACAUCAAUUGGGGUGUUUGAAGAAGAUGCCAUGUUGAAGAUGAAAAUCUAGAGUAUGGUUUAGGAAAAAAAGGGACAAGUGUUUGUUUUGACUGAAAGAAUUUUUUUAGGCUGAGAGAAAGAAGUGGUUGUUUUGAGAGAAAGAAGGCUAAGUUGUUUGUGUGAUAUGGUAAUGAGUGUGAUCGAUCUUUAUAUAGAGAAGUAGAAAAAAUAUCUACACACGAUUGUGUGGCUUCCAAACAAGAUUCUCGGUCCAAUAAUUUAACUUUAUAAAAUUAUCACUAACAAUAUACAACAUAAAAAUAUAAACCAUUCGUGGUCACAGACAGAAUACAACAAAGAAAUAUGGUCCCUCCACUCAGUGUUGUAUCCGUUCACGGGUUUCCACUAUUUGGCCGUGCAAUGAGUACCGUAUACGAUCACCAACCUGUACACAUUACGAUCAGAAAAAGUCACAUAAGGCACAUAACUUUGCAUUAAACAUUAAAUAGCACCGUAUUCAUAUAUUACCACUUAAAAUAGCACACGUUAAGAAGACUAAAAUAGCACAAGUUAAGAACACUAAAAUGAUUAUGACAAAGUCAGCAUAACAACACGUACAAGCUCUUAACUUAUAUUAUCACAUAAAUUCAUCAAUAAGCUUGUCCCUAAAAUCAACUUCUUUCUCAGAAAGUGGGUCGGUUCUACUAAAAAGACUCUCUAGCAUUCUCUGUCUAGACAGCGCCUUCUUCAAUUCCAAGUCUCUCAGUUUUAUUUCCCACAAGUCCUUGAAGUCCUCCAUUUUUUUUCCCUUCGUCUUUAGCAGGUCCGUUCACCUUCUUUUUAGCAGCAGAUUUUGCUGCUUUUACUCCUGGCGGGCGAGCUUCAGGAGAGCUGUCGUCAAGUAUUUCAGGUUGACUACCAUGAGCCGACGUCUCGUCCCCCUUUCUUCUUUUCUUUUUCGCAGAGUCUUUGUCCGCUGUUGAGGAGCACCACUUCUGGUCGUGCCGUAAUUCUGUCCAACAAUGCUCGAGGCCAAACUUAAACUGGUGAUCACUGAAAAAUAUUUGAUGAGCAGCUUUCACCAAAUCAUCAUCGUUUUGCCCACUUCUCUGCCCUUUCACAGCCGUUUCAUAACAACCUACGAACUUGCUCACUUGGUCGUUGAUUCUACCCCACCUCUGCUUGCAAUGAGGUGCCUCUCGGUCUGGUAAGUCGGCUAACUUCUUAUUGGCAUUAAACAAGAGCUGAAUACGCUUCCAAAAAGCUUGAGCUUUUUGUUCAUUUCCCACCACCGGAUCCUUGCUGGUAUUUAACCAACAACUGAUCAAAACAAUGUCCUCCACUGGUGACCAUAUCCGCCUCUCCUUGCGAUCCUUGGAAGCCACCCGUGGGUCAUCAGUAGUUUCCUGACUACUAAAUGGAGGCAACUCUGAUGAAGUUAGAUCUAUGGUUUGAGAAAAAUAGAAAGGGUUUUCUGCUUGGCUUGUUAAAAGAUUAACAAAGCCCUGAGAGUUACCAAAAGCAUUCGAAGAAUCCAUACGGUAACUACAGAAUGGUUGAAAAGGGUAGAGGGAUAGAAGAAGAAAGGAACGGAUGAAGAACAAAAGAUGAAUAAGAUUGGUUUAUAAAGAGUUAGUACAUAAGUUAGGGUUUCAGUUAGUAAGAAAACGAGCAAUAAAUACACACCCAUUCUUGCAAUUACUCUUCAACAUACAAAUAGCAUUCAUCACAAAAUAAACCAACAAUUACUCUUCACCUAACAAAAAAGCAGACUAACCAAACAUUGAUGACAACCUAACCGAUUAUUCUAACCUAGUACUUUAAUGGUUAUUCUAACAUAGUACCAUAAAGCAUUGAUGAUUACUAACCUUGAUUCAAUGCUGAUAAGACUGAUCGCUGUUGUUCCCCUUAAAACCUCACCCAUAAGACUGAACCAACACGCCUGUUUGUUGUUCCCCGUAAAACCUCACCCAAAAAAAAAAAGGUGUGAGAAAAGAUCAACUAAUGCAUAAUAUAAUAUAUACAUGUCGAUGUGUAAAAAAAAAUAAGUACCUGGUUUGUACCAGCCGAUGUCCAUCUUCUUUCCACAAUCUAACCAAACCAAACAAUGUCGACAUAAUAGUAUAUCGCAAGCAAGAAUAUAUAACAGUCACUCAUAGCCUAAAUUAUAGUUAUAAAGUCUGGAAUAGCUAAUAAUUAGGGAAAUACAAUAAGUCUUCUACAAACAAAUUACAUUGCUUAGGCAAAUACAAUAAAAGUUUUACUACAAACAGACUCAUAUAUCUCUACCACUUAGACAUAUAUGAAAUGGUUGCAAAAACCAAUAGGACGAAGAGAAGGAAGAAACCGUCACCUCGGUUUGCAAAGGCAUGCUUCAGCUGUGAAACCUCACCUUGAAGGACUCGUACUUCUUCCUUUACUUCGCCAACAGCUGGGUCGGAAGCCACAACCCCUGUGUCUCCUUGGUUUGCAAGCUCCUCCUUCAUGCGAGCAACUUCACCUUGAAGAAGGCGAACAUGUGUUUCCAAAUGUAGAUGUUUCCCCUUUGCCUCAUCAAGCCGUAUCCUGUAUCUCUCCAUCUGCUCUGUCACACCAUCAUCCCACCAUUGAAAUAUGUGCUCAAAAGUCCCCUACAAAACAAUAAAGUGUUAUCAAUCUAAUAAACAGCAAACUAAUCAUGAUAAAGCAACCAAAGUUCACCCUUAAUUACCUCAUUCAAGUACUUCGGACACUUGUAGUACCGGCGGCCAGGAAAAACUGUGGAAUCAGCACUCAUUGCUUCAAGCUUCAACCGCAUCCCGCAGAAACACUUCUCCUGAAUUCCGUAGUUGGCAUCGGAAUAUGCCCACCUCAAAUCCUCCUCUGGCCCUUCAGAAGAUGUUUCUGAAUAGCUGAUCGGCAUUCUUUCUGCACAAAAUCGAUAACAGUUUAUCACCAACCUCAAACCUAAAACCAAGAAUCAGAAUUCAUACGCAUAGACUACUCUCAUCAAACAAACCGUAAACCCAUAUCAACUACUAACCAUGAAUCAUCCAUUUCAAUCGCAAACCAUAUCAACUAUGAAUCAUCCAAUUCACUCGCAAAUUAGUUCAAGUUGGGGUUUCACAUAUUCGCAAUCAA
rnacentral:lncRNA from 1 species